AAAAAAAUAAAAAAAUAAAAAUUAAGAAGCCCACCGCACACAAGUCUUCCUCCUCCGAUUCUUUCUCUCGCUCUCUGUCCAUUUUCUCUAUCUGUUCGUUGCGCUGCCGCGACCGGUACACCACCACCCCAAAGCACGACGCCAUAUCCGCCUCCACAAUCUCACCCCCACCUACUUCCUCUCUCAUUAUCGACGCGGUUUCCAAGCUUCAUCGUAACAGAGCUUCGAGAAAAAGAUGGCUCUCAGAGGAGUGUGGCAAUUGCAAAAACUGGUUGUGAGCCAUUCUGAGUGGGGAAGAAGCAGCAGGGGGCAUCAGGUUUGUUCCUCAAACGCAACCACUACUUGCAAUUCUCUUUGUAUUUUUAUCAAGUUAGUUUAUCUGAUUUUCUAUGUGAAAAUCAUAUGCACUGAAUCUUAUCAGAACUCCGACUUCGAUAUUAAGCGAGUUUGAACGAAAGUAGCAUUAGAUGGACGAACUUAUGGGAAGUUCUCGUAUUGCAUCCACACUUCUUGUUAUCUUCCAUUCUCAAAAAAAAAAAAAAAAAAAACAAAAAAUGUGAAGAUCCAAAUUUAUGGGAUUUUCACAUAAGAACCCUAGAUAUAAUUACACUUCAUAGAAAAAUACUUAGAAGUUCGAACCCAAUAUUUUAGAAAAGCACCAUUCUUAUAAGAGCAAGUCCAGCAUAUCGAGGCCACCAAGACAACUUCCUAUUGAAUAACCUUCAAUGAAUAGUAAUUGUCUUUAAUGAACAGUAAUUACUUUUUGUA